rnacentral:rRNA from 1 species
GUGGGGAAUCUUGCGCAAUGGGCGAAAGCCUGACGCAGCCAUGCCGCGUGGAUGAUGAAGGUCUUGGAUUGUAAAAUCCUUUCACCGGUGAAGAUAAUGACUGUAGCCGGAGAAGAAGCCCCGGCUAACUUCGUGCCAGCAGCCGCGGUAAUACGAAGGGGGCUAGCGUUGCUCGGAUUUACUGGGCGUAAAGGGCGCGUAGGCGGACAUUUAAGUCAGGGGUGAAAUCCCGGGGCUCAACCUCGGAACUGCCUUUGAUACUGGGUGUCUUGAGUAUGAGAGAGGUGUGUGGAACUCCGAGUGUAGAGGUGAAAUUCGUAGAUAUUCGGAAGAACACCAGUGGCGAAGGCGACACACUGGCUCAUUACUGACGCUGAGGCGCGAAAGCGUGGGGAGCAAACAGGAUUAGAAACCCUGGUAGUCC